rnacentral:rRNA from 1 species
AGAGUUUGAUCCUGGCUCAGGAUGAACGCUAGCGACAGGCUUAACACAUGCAAGUCGAGGGGCAGCACAGGUAGCAAUACCGGGUGGCGACCGGCGCACGGGUGAGUAACGCGUAUGCAACUUGCCUAUCAGAGGGGGAUAACCCGGCGAAAGUCGGACUAAUACCGCAUGAAGCAGGGAUCCCGCAUGGGAAUAUUCGCUAAAGAUUCAUCGCUGAUAGAUAGGCAUGCGUUCCAUUAGGCAGUUGGCGGGGUAACGGCCCACCAAACCGACGAUGGAUAGGGGUUCUGAGAGGAAGGUCCCCCACAUUGGUACUGAGACACGGACCAAACUCCUACGGGAGGCAGCAGUGAGGAAUAUUGGUCAAUGGCCGAGAGGCUGAACCAGCCAAGUCGCGUGAGGGAUGAAGGUUCUAUGGAUCGUAAACCUCUUUUAUAAGGGAAUAAAGUGCGGGACGUGUCCCGUUUUGUAUGUACCUUAUGAAUAAGGAUCGGCUAACUCCGUGCCAGCAGCCGCGGUAAUACGGAGGAUCCGAGCGUUAUCCGGAUUUAUUGGGUUUGAAGGGUGCGUAGGCGGCCUUUUAAGUCAGCGGUGAAAGUCUGUGGCUCAACCAUAGAAUUGCCGUUGAAACUGGGGGGCUUGAGUAUGUUUGAGGCAGGCGGAAUGCGUGGUGUAGCGGUGAAAUGCAUAGAUAUCACGCAGAACCCCGAUUGCGAAGGCAGCCUGCCAAGCCAUUACUGACGCUGAUGCACGGAAGCGUGGGGAUCAAACAGGAUUAGAUACCCUGGUAGUCCACGCAGUAAACGAUGAUCACUAGCUGUUUGCGAUACACUGUAAGCGGCACAGCGAAAGCGUUAAGUGAUCCACCUGGGGAGUACGCCGGCAACGGUGAAACUCAAAGGGAUUGACGGGGGCCCGCACAAGCGGAGGAACAUGUGGUUUAAUUCGAUGAUACGCGAGGAACCUUACCCGGGUUUGAACGCAUUCGGACCGAGGUGGAAACACCUUUUCUAGCAAUAGCCGUUUGCGAGGUGCUGCAUGGUUGUCGUCAGCUCGUGCCGUGAGGUGUCGGCUUAAGUGCCAUAACGAGCGCAACCCUUGCCACUAGUUACUAACAGGUAAAGCUGAGGACUCUGGUGGGACUGCCAGCGUAAGCUGCGAGGAAGGCGGGGAUGACGUCAAAUCAGCACGGCCCUUACAUCCGGGGCGACACACGUGUUACAAUGGCGUGGACAAAGGGAAGCCACCUGGCGACAGGGAGCGAAUCCCCAAACCACGUCUCAGUUCGGAUCGGAGUCUGCAACCCGACUCCGUGAAGCUGGAUUCGCUAGUAAUCGCGCAUCAGCCAUGGCGCGGUGAAUACGUUCCCGGGCCUUGUACACACCGCCCGUCAAGCCAUGGGAGCCGGGGGUACCUGAAGUCCGUAACCGCGAGGAUCGGCCUAGGGUAAAACUGGUGACUGGGGCUAAGUCGUAACAAGGUA